ACAGCUCGACAACAAAGGACUGGCGGGAGGCUGUGCACAAUUUUGUUAAAAUUUAGUUAAAGACGCUCAAUAUACUUGCAGAAAUGUCCUCUGCUUGUCGAAUGAUAUGGAAUUUACUGUGUUUUCUUGGGAUAUGAAUUAAUAUACAGAAGAGUUCCUUGAAGAUUUUAAUGGACUAGUUGAGAGGAUAGCAUGAAUUUUAUGGAAGAUUCUGUUUUGUUUUGGAUAUUUGAUCAAUGGAUCAAACUUUGGAUUACAAAGUAAUAGUGUCUGCCCAAAAAAAUAUGUGGUUUGAAGAUCAAAAUACAUGGAGUUGUUUGUGUAUUCACCCAUAAUACCACAGAUCAACAGAAGCUUGUCAAGACAAGAAGCUUGUGUGUUAUGAUAUAUCUAAGAUGUGACCACAGUAACAGCUUGGAUGAUAAAAAGCUUUCCAUAAUGGAGCCAAGCACCCCCACCUGACCAUCCCCAACAAACGAGGCCACACAGGGCUUCAGAAGAAUCCAUGAUGUAGUGUAGCUGAACCAGACAGGCAACAUGAACUGGCGAGUUCAUAUGUUCAAGUUGUAUCAACAUACAUGAGACUAGUAAUGAGGACUUGGUGCAAGAGAAGCUGAUAAGGACAAUUUCUAAUCCCAUGCAUGGAAUCCAUCAAAACAGAAGUGUGUCACCCUGGUUACAGCUACUAGAAAGGGCAGGGAGGCAGAAUCGGGAAUAAAAGUGCCACUUGUCACCCCCAUCUUUCUCUCCUACCAUCUUGCAAUAGGACAACUGCCUGCAUUAUCAAACUCUCAGUGACGAACAAUUACUCCUUUUUUUCCUAUCAUUAUGCUGAUGAAUCAGCAAUUUAUAUUGAUUUCUCCAUUAAAAAAGGAAACUUUUAUCCAUUGCCAUAUGUUUGUUUUGUUUCAGUGAUUAAAUUCUUGAACUUGAA